UACAGAGGUCCCAAGCGUUGUUCGGAUUCACUGGGCGUAAAGGGUGCGUAGGCGGUCGGGUAAGUCUGAUGUGAAAUCUCACAGCUUAACUGUGAAACUGCAUUGGAUACUAUUCGGCUAGAGAGUUGGAGGGGGGACUGGAAUUCUUGGUGUAGCAGUGAAAUGCGUAGAUAUCAAGAGGAACACCAGUGGCGAAGGCGGCCCACUGGAUCGGUACUGACGCUGAGGUGCGAAAGCGUGGGGAGCAAACAGG
rnacentral:rRNA from 1 species